GGUUAAGUGAAUAAGGGCGCACGGUGGAUGCCUUGGCACUAGGAGCCGAUGAAGGACGGGACUAACACCGAUAUGCUUUGGGGAGCUGUAAGUAAGCUAUGAUCCAGAGAUUUCCGAAUGGGGGAACCCAAUAUCUUUUAUAGGAUAUUACUUUUCAGUGAAUACAUAGCUGAUUAGAGGUAGACGCAGAGAACUGAAACAUCUUAGUACCUGCAGGAAGAGAAAGAAAAUUCGAUUCCCUGAGUAGCGGCGAGCGAAACGGGAAGAGCCCAAACCAACAAGCUUGCUUGUUGGGGUUGUAGGACUCCNNNACAACACCUAGGAGGAUCCUGAGUACGGCGGAACACGAGAAAUUCCGUCGGAAUCCGCGGGGACCAUCCCGCAAGGCUAAAUACUCCCUAGUGACCGAUAGUGAACCAGUACCGUGAGGGAAAGGUGAAAAGCACCCCGGAAGGGGAGUGAAAUAGAUCCUGAAACCGUGUGCCUACAACAAGUCAAAGCUCGUUAAUGAGUGAUGGCGUGCCUUUUGUAGAAUGAACCGGCGAGUUACGAUUGCAUGCGAGGUUAAGUCGAAGAGACGGAGCCGCAGCGAAAGCGAGUCUGAAUAGGGCGAAUGAGUAUGUAGUCGUAGACCCGAAACCAUGUGAUCUACCCAUGUCCAGGUUGAAGGUGCGGUAAAACGCACUGGAGGACCGAACCCACGUACGUUGAAAAGUGCGGGGAUGAGGUGUGGGUAGCGGAGAAAUUCCAAACGAACUUGGAGAUAGCUGGUUCUCUCCGAAAUAGCUUUAGGGCUAGCCUCGGAAUUGAGAAUGAUGGAGGUAGAGCACUGUUUGGACUAGGGGCCCAUCUCGGGUUACCGAAUUCAGAUAAACUCCGAAUGCCAUUCAUUUAUAUCCGGGAGUCAGACUGCGAGUGAUAAGAUCCGUAGUCGAAAGGGAAACAGCCCAGACCACCAGCUAAGGUCCCAAAAUAUAUGUUAAGUGGAAAAGGAUGUGGGGUUGCACAGACAACUAGGAUGUUGGCUUAGAAGCAGCCACCAUUUAAAGAGUGCGUAAUAGCUCACUAGUCGAGUGACCCUGCGCCGAAAAUGUACCGGGGCUAAACAUAUUACCGAAGCUGUGGACUACACCAUUAGGUGUAGUGGUAGGAGAGCGUUCUAAGGGCGUUGAAGGUCGAUCGUGAGGACGGCUGGAGCGCUUAGAAGUGAGAAUGCCGGUAUGAGUAGCGAAAGACAGGUGAGAAUCCUGUCCACCGUAUGACUAAGGUUUCCUGGGGAAGGCUCGUCCGCCCAGGGUUAGUCGGGACCUAAGCCGAGGCCGAUAGGCGUAGGCGAUGGACAACAGGUUGAUAUUCCUGUACCAGUUGUUUUUGUUUGAGCAAUGGAGGGACGCAGUAGGCUAAGGAAUGCAUGCGAUUGGAAGUGCAUGUCCAAGCAAUGAGUCUUGAGUAGAGUUAAAUGCUUUACUCUCUAAGGACAAGUUGUGACGGGGAGCGAAAUAAUAGUAGCGAAGUUCCUGAUGUCACACUGCCAAGAAAAGCUUCUAGUGAGAAAACAACUGCCCGUACCGUAAACCGACACAGGUAGUCGAGGAGAGUAUCCUAAGGUGAGCGAGCGAACUCUCGUUAAGGAACUCGGCAAAAUGACCCCGUAACUUCGGGAGAAGGGGUGCUGACUUCGGUCAGCCGCAGUGAAUAGGCCCAAGCGACUGUUUAUCAAAAACACAGGUCUCUGCAAAAUCGUAAGAUGAAGUAUAGGGGCUGACGCCUGCCCGGUGCUGGAAGGUUAAGAGGAUGGGUUAGCUUCGGCGAAGCUCAGAAUUGAAGCCCCAGUAAACGGCGGCCGUAACUAUAACGGUCCUAAGGUAGCGAAAUUCCUUGUCGGGUAAGUUCCGACCCGCACGAAAGGCGUAACGAUUUGG
rnacentral:rRNA from 1 species